ACCAAUUUUCCUGAAGAUGCACAGAAAACAACAUAAACAUGUAUUUAUCCCUACUAAGUCCACAUAGAAGAUUUUAUUAUAUCUAUUUACAUGUUAAUAUACCUGUAAACAUUUUAAUUUGAUCAUUUUGUUUAUUCUAAACUGUUGAUUUAAUAAAGUUCAUGUUUUAUGUCAAAAGAAUGUGCUUGUGUUCAUUGGCUCGUUCUGUUCAUUUGGCCAAACUUGUACGCUUGUUCUGCUUGUUUGAGCAGAGAAUAGUGGCAUUAUUCCACAGGAAAAGGAAACAGCUCAGUUUGCAAACCCGGUCACACCUAAAGACCUUUGGUUCUGUGAACUCUGUGUUCAGACCAGUGCUGUAGAGACACAAACAACAUGUUUAAUGUGGGAGCUUCGCUCUAGUGUUUUUCAGGGUACAUGCGUCUCUUUCAGAAUCUUAUGAGAGGUGAACCUGUUGCGAUACGACAGAGAAAACACGGAAUUUAGGCUUCGAAAGUCAAGGUGUCAUGGGGUCAUGGAUGCUGGUUCUGUGUACCACAGUCACUCUGAUGCCUGUGUGUCUUCAUGGAGCAAUAUCAGUCCGCUUUAAGACCGGACGGCCUCUCUAUGUGGCACUCGGCCGAACUCUUGUUUUGGAAGUCGAAUUCAAGAAGGACUCGGACGACAAAAUAGACAUGGUGACGUGGGACCGCGAGAGAGGAAAUGUCACUGUCAGACUGUCACAUGGAAACAGAAUAUCUUUGGAGAAUGGAGAUGCACUUCUGCGGGUCACUGAUGUUGCAGAAGGGGACCUUGCGAUCUACAAAGUCACCGUUACAGACAGUAACGGAUACCAGCAGCACGACUCCAUAGAAGUACGAAAGACAGUGGAAUCUCCAAAGGCGUCAAUUACACGUGUGCUGGAGUGUGUUGUGGAUAAUCAUGGCAUGACUCAGUGGGACAGCCCUCAGUUUUCAUGGCUGGUUGAUGGUGUUACAGUAACCAAUCAAUCCGCCCUGUUAACUAAUGGCAGUAGACUAGAUAUCUCUGGGAUUAAGGGUGUUAACUACACCUGCAUCAUCAACAGCAGCCUGGGGACACUCACAACACAUUAUGAAAUGCCAAAAGGUAUUGUUCAAUAUCAGAAUGUGUGUAAUUUUUUUAAUAUUUAGGUGAAAAAAGUCACUUUUGACUUCAAAAUGUUCACCAUAAAAUGCAAAAACAUUUAAAGAUAGAAAAAAAGGCAACACUUUACAAUAACUUCCCAUUAGUUAACAUUAGUUAAAGGAAUAUUUAACCCAAAAAUGAAAAUUUGAUCAGAUUUGGAGAAAUGUAGCAUUGCAUCACAUGCUCUGCAGUGAAUGGGUGCCGUCAGAAUGAGAGUCUGUUAAAACAUCACAAUAAUCCACAAGUAAUCCACAUCACUCCAGUCCAUCAGUUAACAUCUGGAGAAGACAAAAGCUGCAUGUUUGUAAGAAACAAAUGCAUCAAGAUGUUUUUAAUUUCAAACCAUUCCUUCUGGAUAAAUAUGAGUCAAUAAUCCAUAAUAACGCUUCCUCCAGUGAAAAAUCUCCUGUUGUCUCUCACAUCAAAAUCCAUCCACAUGUUUGUUUAGAGCUGUUUUUUCAUGUAAACGGUGCUUGAUCUUUGCAGAAUUCUCUCCUGAUUCAGACCAGUCCACUUUUUCACUGGAGAAAGCAAUAUUAUGGAUAGAGGACUUGUAUUUUAGCUGAAAGUGACAGGGUUGAACGACUUCUGAUUUUUAUGUGAUGAAAGUCGAGUCGAAGUCGACUAAUCGCUGAUGAUGUCAUUACUGAACAAAUAAUUCUGGAGCAGAGACUCAAACACCUUGUGCACAGCUGUGGCGUAUGACACAGUGCUACCCACGUGGCUAUUGCUCCUAUAACAGCUAAUUUUUAGCAGUUCUUUUGUCUUUGGGUCGAUAUAUUUCUCACAGAUUUCUGCUCGUUCUAAAUCAGAUACAGAUAAAGUAGCACAAUAAAGAUUUCAGUCAUAUGAAUGCGUGUGUGAAUUAAUUCUACAUGGCAGCGUCUCUCUAGUAGUAGUGGAGCUGUGAUUUAAUUAUUAAGAAAUAUAUGCUUGAUCUUUUCAGUUUCUAAGCUAUUUUAUUGAGAGAUCACAGAACAAUGUUGACAGUACAUUUCCGCCCUGAAUGAUUCUGUGUACGCGCUACUCUCUGUAGCCUAUGUGUGUGCGUUACAGUCCAGCAGCGCAUUAGAUUAGAACGGCGAUUCAUUUACUGUACAAUAGGCUGUUUAAAACAUUCUCCCGUUUACUUUCGAGCAUCCAGUAAUAUAAUUACACAUGUCUCGUGGAGCGCUUUCAGAGCAGAGAUGUUGGACUUGCCAUGAAAGUGCGCUAACAAGGUGACGCCGUGAGGCCGCCUCGAUGAGCGUUAUCAUUUCUGCCUGAUCUCCAUACAGAUAUCGAAAAGAAAUGAAAGAGGCCGUUUUCUUCUCACAUCCAUCGGUUUCGAGGCGAUGUGCGAAAACGGCUAUGAGAGGAUGCCCCCUGUAGAAAGUGCUUUCUUUCUGCGGGGGAGACAUGCUCUCUUAAUCUCCCUCCUUGCCAUCUAAGCCCCUUCAAGAAAUACAUCUCGCUUAAAUGGCAAGGCAUACGCAGCAGCAGGUCAGGCUGUGGCUUUAUUACACAUGAUGGUGGUGCUUCAAGCAUAUCAGACUGAUCUGCUAAGAGACCUGGAUAGAGGCGAGGGCCUUUUUCCUGAUCAGGUAGCCGAGCUGCGCCGCACCACAGGCCUCUCUCCGGGCUACCAAGCAGGCCGCCUCUGCCAAGCGCAGGACUAUGGCGGCCAUGGUGGUGGCGGAGAGACUUCUGUGGAUGAACCUUGCAGACAUCGGGAAGAAAGAUAAGGCUUU
rnacentral:lncRNA from 1 species